ACCUACCGCAGGCAUCUGUGGUGGUUGAAAGCUCCGGCGGUGAAGGAUGAGCCCGCGGCCUAUCAGCUUGUUGGUGAGGUAAUGGCUCACCAAGGCGACGACGGGUAGCCGGCCUGAGAGGGCGACCGGCCACACUGGGACUGAGACACGGCCCAGACUCCUACGGGAGGCAGCAGUGGGGAAUAUUGCACAAUGGGCGAAAGCCUGAUGCAGCGACGCCGCGUGAGGGAUGACGGCCUUCGGGUUGUAAACCUCUUUCAGCAGGGAAGAAGCGAAAGUGACGGUACCUGCAGAAGAAGCGCCGGCUAACUACGUGCCAGCAGCCGCGGUAAUACGUAGGGCGCAAGCGUUGUCCGGAAUUAUUGGGCGUAACGAGCUCGUAUGCGGCUUGUCACGUCGGGUGUGAAAGCGCGGGGUCUUAACCCCGGGUUCUGCAU
rnacentral:rRNA from 1 species